GAAACUUUACCUUGUCCAAACAAAGGGUGCAGCCAGUUUGUGAGGUGCAAUGAGCAGUAUGAAUGGGCCUGGACUCAGGCUGGCCCAAGACAGAAUAUGAAGCCAAAUGAGGAGUUCAACAACAAUUCCACGUUCAAACCAUUGUUCCCCACUGCACAUCCUUCACCAUAGCGAAAUUCUGCCACCACAUCGUCGCGCCGGAAAUCGCCUCUGAUGGCGAUAGAGGCUCAAAAUACAUGAAUCACACCUUAAAAUACUCAUCUCAAUAAGCUCCAUAGAAGCCCUAAACCAAUUCCAACUAAAUCCUUUUCCUAUGCUCAAAUCUAAAGGGUUAAGGGAAUAACCCUAACAUCCAAGUUCAACCAUACCAAGGUCUCAACACGGAAAUGGGAUGCAAACCCUAGGGAUUUGGUCCAUAUGGCAUAAAUAUACAUCUUAACAACAAUGAAUCGCGAAGAAGAAGACACAUAUGCGUGAGGUCUCAGAUGAAGUUAAUUGCACAAAAAUACUAUAGGCAAAUAUACCAGGUAAUAUCAAUUCUUCACUUUAAGUGCCUGCCGAUUCUUCUUCUCCUCAAUGCCUAUAGUUUGUAGGAAAAAAAUUCUUUCUAUUUGUUGUGAAUGGUUCUGCGAUUGGGAUUGAUGAGAGGUGCGCAAGAGUGAGAGAGGUUGGGUUUUGAGAGAUUGAGAUGAAUGAGUUGUUGCAGAGAGAAUGAGGUUCAGAGUGAUGAGGCUUAGCUUGAGCACAUUGAAGCUUACAGGUGAAGCUUCAAUGGCUACCGAGGAUGAGCUCUAGGUGAGGAGUAAUGAGAGAUGGAUUGCAGAGAGAUUCUGAGAGAAGAUGAGAGUAAGGAAUCGAUCCCCCUGAAUGAGUAUGAAGGUUUCAUUAUAUAGGAUGCAGGUUCAGGUCAAAUGGAGGAUUAAAGUGAGGUUCAAAGUUGGUUAUGAUGAGCUUAGUGAGAUGCUUCUGUUAACUCAUUGAGUUUUGUAGUUAGCUGCACUCUCUUAAUUAGUUAGGACAGUUAGUUUAUCGUCACUAUUUUAAAAGUUAGUUAAAUGAGUUAGCAAAGUCAGCUAGUAGAUUGGAAUUAGGAAGUUAGGGAAAUCAAUUGGUGGGCUAGUAAUUAUAGUGAUUAUUAGUGAAAAUCAACCGUUAGAGAUAAAUCACCAUUGUCUCAUAGAGUGUGAAUUUAAUGGUUAAUGUUAACAAUUGAAAUCGAGUUGGUUUGAUUGAAAGUGUGGUUGCUGGUCUUGUUAUGUGAUAUGGUAUGCUUGGAAUUUGUUUUUAUGAAUGAUAAUUAUUGAACUUGGAUGGCUAUGCUUGCCAAACUGUUUUGUUACUAAUGCUUUAUGAUGAUGAAGUGUGGCUUUCUGUUGUGUGAAUUGAUGGUGUUGAAUGUGUCCAUGAUUGUUAUUCCAUUCAUUGCUUGAUGAUCCUUUGUUGACAGUUUAUUAUGAUUUUGUAAGAUUCGUGGACUUGCACGAUUGUUGUUUGUAAUGUUGCAAGCUUAGUGCAGGUUUUGUAGUAGGGUUUUGCUCCUGGUUUGCAAGUUGGUCUACACUUGGUUGCAUUGUAGCAGGUUGUGGGCUUGGUCUGGUUUUGUAGGUCUAUGAGCAGGUUCACAAGCAGGCACACUUUCUCUGGUCUUGCAGGUCUAUAAGCAGGUUCACUUGGUCUGGUUUAUCUCCGGUUUGUGUUGUUGCAGGAUGCUCAGAAUUCGGCUUGGAAAUUGAAGUGCAUUGCUUGGAAUUACGGAGUUUUCACAUUGCUUUUGGUCAUGGAGUUUUUGAACAUUUGUAAUUGGUUUAAAUGGAUGUAAUUCUGUAUGUGGUUUAUGUCAUGUAGGAUAAGGCAUAUGCAUGGAUGGUUGUAUAUAAUUGAUGGAAUUGGAUUUUAUAAAUGGUUUAAAUUGUAAUUGAAAAGUAAUUUGAAAAAUGAAAUGGUAAUGACUUGUAAAUGGUUUUGGAAUUUGGCAUUUGAAUGGUACAUGUUGAUAUGAACAUGAAAUUUGGACAAGGUUAACAUGGAACAAUAUUGAAAUGUAGCAUGGCUAGAAAAGAGAAAAAGAAUGGAUUAAUGGUUCAAUGGAUUAUGUGGGUUGACUUUGGUCAAAGUUGACAAAAAAAACU
rnacentral:lncRNA from 1 species